ensembl:lincRNA
CCAAAAAGUUUUAACAAUUAAAAAAUAAUGACAAAGUAAUACAGAGAAAGGAAGCAGGCUUGAAAGACACUUUGCACUUGUCAGGACUUUUGGGAACUGUCCCCUGGGGGCUCCCUGGAAGCAGAAAAUCUCUGUUUUUCCGCAGUGGUGGAAGCUCUCAGUUAGAAACACUGAGAGGCCCCAGGAACAACAGAGCUGACCAAUGACUUAGUCAGCAGAGCAGCCUCUGGGAUCAUCUCAUCAAGGCCCUGCCCAGUUUCCAUGGCAGCAGCAAGAGUCUGUUCCGCUGCUAACAAAGCAGACUCCUCGGUGAUCAGAAGCCUCGCCUGCAUAGAACCUCCAGGUGCUGGUGUGGCCAGGGACACACACAUAGAUGGGCCUGGCCUGUGGUUCCCCUGUCUGGCCCGAGGUGUUUAAAGCCUGGAGCUUGUCAGGCUCCGCACUUUGGAAAUCCAGAGGGGCUCCCCUGUUAAUCUUUGGGCAAAUAUUUUCUCUGCUCUGCUGGCUUCAUGGGCGGCACGUGGAACCCGGAAGGGUGGCUGUCUCUGGACAGCAGGCUGCUUCCUCCAGGUGUAAGUCUCUCUCUUCUGGAGGAGGCACUCUGGACCUCUUUGAUUUCCACUCAUAUCUUUCCCAGAAUGUUCCUUGUGUGAACAGAAGGAGGAGAAAGGGCCAGACUCCCAGGGCCCAAGUUUAGCUCUCGAUCUUUACAAGCAAGUUUGUUCCUGCUCUCAGAACCAGCUGGAAACAGCCAAGAUGAAGUACGACCCUAACAUUUUUCUGGCAGUCUACGAGGUUUCUGAGCUUCUUUACUUAACGCACUUAGCAUCUGGACCAGCUUAACUUUCCCGCGGCGAUGUUUUGGAUACUUUAAUGGAUAGGAAGUGCCUUCUCAUUUUCUCUCCUUUGGGGGAACCAAGACUCCUGCACAGAUUUUCCUCUCAGGUUUGAGUGAGAGGUCUCAAGUCAAAGCCAGAAUUUUUUCCUCCUCUGCACAUGCCAUGUGCCCAAGCCCGAGGAACGUCCUUCUGGGGGCAACAGAGCGCACCCUCAGAGGCCCUGCGCAGGUGGCAGGCGGAGACAAGGGCAGAAGAUUAGACUUCCUGCUUCGUUAUAAUUAUUUUUAAAUUUAUGAUUCUUGUCCCUUUCAGUCUUGAAGGGGCGUUCUUAAAAGUAUUUUUCUUGGCUACCAGCUAAGGUUUGUUGAAAACUAAAGCCAGAGUUAGGGGAAAAUUUAGAGGACAGGGAAGCGGAUGGCCCCUGGGGAACAGUAAGCUUCAUUUCCCGGCCUUGUACAGGCACUGAAGGCCGAGGACCUCGCAGGGCUUGGAGUCCUCAGCCAGCAAAGCAAAGGCCGGUGUUGACAGAUGGACCACCAGAGCUCAUGGUGAAGCCAGCAGCAGUCAGAUGCAGAGAGUUGUGUACGUGUGUGUGUGUGUGUGUGUGUGUGUAGCAUGUGGUGUGUGUUAGUCACUCAGUCAUGUCCGACACUUUGCGACUCCAUGGACUUUAGUUCACCAGACUCCUCUGUCCAUGGGAUUCUCCAGGCAAGGAUACUGGAGUGGGUUGCCAUUCCCCUCUCCAAGAGAUCUUCCCGGACCAGGGAUCGAAACCACAUCUCUCACAUUGCAGACAGAUUCUUUACCAUCUGAGCCACCAGGAAAGCCCCAGACUCAGAGGAGACUCUCCCCUAUUUUACACGGAGACAGCUCCAAGAUGAGGAGUAAAGGCAGCUCAAAAAGUAACAUGAAAUCUGGUUUCUCCAAGAAAAACAAAAGCCUUAACAAACCACAAAGUCCCAAAACCAGGGGCCAGUAUCCUAUGUGGAGAGCUGUUCCAUAGUGAAGACCCUUCCCCAGGGAUGGCUCAGCCCCUGGAGCUUCUGACAGCUCUUUGAAAACUUCCCUGCACGUGAGGUAAAUCUCAUCAACCCAAAAGGGGACUCUGAGGGAAAGAUUCAAGUUCUGUCCUUAAUUUCUCUGUCUUCAAUGUCAGGAGCAGAGCCAUACAGCUCAGGGUUUAUAGUUACCAGUGGAGCCCUCUGUCCAGCACAACCUGCUCCACCAGCUGGAAGGUCAAAGGACAAAGGGCAGCCCCAUUUUGGAGACUGCUCAAGAACUCUAAAAUACUCAGGGGUGAACUGGAUGGAAAGGAAAAGGAAAAAACUGUGUAGAGUGGAGUGGUGGGAAAUUCAUUUCCAGAGGAAGCAGAAUUGAAUGACGGGACUUUCAAAAGGGAAUGAAGCCUGCCUGCCAUCCUAGAACAAACUAAGGCUGCCAGAAACUCAUGUGGCUUGCUUGUCAGAACACUUUUAAUUAGAGUCGCAUUAUAAUAAUUAUAAAUUUAGUUGGACAACUCACAUCAAUUCCCGCUUCUGUUAUUUUAAAGAUACAGUCUCUGUCACAGCCUCUUAAUUUUUAGAACAACAUUCUCUUUGGCAAAAUCAAUGUAUUGAGUUUCAUAGUUGUAUUUUUGGAUAAAUUGUGGGGCAACAAAUUUCCAUACUGUGAGAAACUUCUCAAUUCAUGUU